rnacentral:lncRNA from 1 species
GAUCAGAGGACGACAUGAGCAGGUAUUUCCAUUUGAUCAUACCCAAAAUGAUAAUGUAUACCCUAACUUAAGAUGAUGGCUCUUCUACUCUGCUAACAUAACAUGCAUGUGUUUGUGUGGAGUGCCUGUAAAAUUAAUAUCUCAAGUCUCUCAACACACAGAUGUGGAGAGGGUUCUCCUAGCGGUCAUUGAAACCGUGAUAUGCAUUUCCUUGCUCUCGGCUCUGAUCAAGUUUGUAGCGUCUGGGAAUGUGCAUAUGAAAAUCCACAUGUGCGAUUUGGUUGUUAUAUUUUUUCCACACUAGUUUCUAGAGAUGUUCAAGUUAUCUCAUAUACUAUAUCGAAUUACAAUGGAUAAGUUAGUGUACAUACUAAUUUGAAGAUCCUUUUGCUGUCAUACACAUAUUACUGCAGGACCAUAGCGGACCAUUGCAAUGCGGCAAAUCAAAUUUCAAUACUCAACACUCUUCUAUGUGGAUUAGUAAGUUGUUUAUCUACUUUCACUUCUAAAUUGCUUGUUAAGACACUUGAUUCACUUUGUGCCUGUUACUUUAAUCUUGCUAAGUGCAUACAGAAAAAAUUCUACUUGCCCCUUGUCAUGCACAAAAUCGAAUAAACCUUGCAAAUUAGUUUACGCGAAUCUGGUCCUGUAGUUAAAUAUUAUUUGGUCUAUGAAAUAAGAUGAAGUUUGUCCCUAGAAUAUAUAAUGGACUGAAAACAAAACCCAAGAUGUGGCAAUUCAAACACCCAAAAGAAAUUACUUGCAUACCUUGUUGAGAUGAUCUUUUUAAAUUUUUUGCGUUUAUCUUUGGUAUCUUUAGUAUCUUCAGCCACAAUACGACCUGCAGGAAGACCACAGGUGGAGUGUGCUUGGACGGCUGCUUGGCCGCCAGCUGCAUGCCCUUCUAGGCGGCCAGGCAGAGAUUCUUCGCCUCGGCAACCGCCUUGGCCUAGAGCCAUUCCAGGUCGUCGUCGCCGAGGAUGGACGCCAGCAACGACAUCGAUCUCUAUGAUACCGACGAAGUUGGUUGUGGGGCGGGACCAUGGCGGGGUGGCGUGAGGCCAUGGUGGGGAGAGGACAUGGGCACGAGGCUGUGGAGGCUGACGGGAGAGGAAGUCGACAGAGCAACGCCGUGGUGGGGACAAGCGGCUUGUGUGAUCGGCUCCUGUGUAGUGAGGGGGAUACCUGUACGGUGAGAAGCGGUACGGUGAGGUACCUGUACAUAUAGGAGUGGCUACCUGUACGUUGAGAGCAGUCCUAAAUACGCCUAACAAGUGAUCUAGACGUACCACAUGGCACAUGUGGCCAACUAUCCAUGGCACAUGUGACCAACUAUCCAAGUUAAGUUGAUGAUGAGUAUUUGAUGAAAGUGAUCUAGACAUGAGCCCGUGUACAUAAGAUCUAGAUAUAUGGAAAUCUCACAAAUUCGGAGAGACCAUCUAGCGUACUUCUCAAUUUUGGUAUUGGUGGUGCCAUUGUUAUUCGAGAUUAUUUUGAUGUUAAUUUUUUGUCUUUUGAAUUUAAAAUACUUGAAUCAUGAUCUGGGUGCUUCUUCUUGAUCUGGUCGGUGAGUGAGGAUGUAAGAAACAGGGACAUAGAUGCACAUUGGGGUUAGAAUUUAGGGAGAUAGAAACCAUCUAAAGUCUCUCUGCCCUAAAAUAAAUCUGAACCCUUAUAAUGAAACUUGAUGCCCGUGCAGAUGAAUCAGAAUAUUUAAUUAUCUUAUAACUAUGCAUAUGGUGAUGGAGCAGCUAUUUGGGCUAAUCUCCUGCUGUUCUAGCAAAGUUUGGUUUAGUAUUUUGUUUUUCUCUAUGAAAGAUCAAGUAAUCUGAUAUCGAGCUCCUUCUUUUACAGUAAUCGAAUUUUGAGUUUGCAAUGAUUGUUCAUGCCUAAUUGGCAAUAUAUAUUCACAACAAAUUAUUUUUGUUGUCAGACGAAGGGCAUGACGGAUGGCAUCAGCGGAAAGGUGAGCGCCGGUGGAGAUAAGCGAGAAAAGGAGUAGCGCGAGGCGGUAGGCAGCCUUGAAGAGGAUGAGUGGGCCCGCUGCUGGGGGAUGGUCCUAGGGAUUUUUGAAUCAACGAGAGCAGUGUCGGCCCAGGUAUCUUCUUCCAUCUCUGGAUCCUAAACUAUAUAUCUCUCUAAUCUGCAUUGACACGCAGUAGUGCCGGGUACAAGUGUGUGGCUGCUCCAGUGCGAUGAACAGUGCGAUGAAGUUAGCAGCUCUUUAUCCUUUUUCCUCUUAUUCAUUGUGUAUUUCCCCAUUUUAUACAUGUAACAAUGAUGAAUGAUGAUGAACUUAGACUUGGUGUAAGGAGAGUCAUUCUGUUUCCUUGAACAAAACAGCCUUCUAUCCUUAUAUUUAUCCUAAAAGCUUUCAGACGAUACUCACACCAUAUGAUUCGUUGAAGCAUAGAAGUAUUUUUUUCACAUCUAUUACAAUCCAAUAUUUGUUAGUUAAUCAUAUUCUUUAUAUUCGCAAGUAGUAUAAAGUUGCCCCAAAAUUGGUAAUAUGAUUUUGGAUUAUACAUUAUAUGCCGACAAGGAGAUUAAUGCUGCCCAAUAAACUAGCAGUAUGAAAUAACCCUGCAUAUAUUUGUUGAUUUUUAAUUUGAGCCUUUCAAUCCAACUACAAAAAUUAUUUGUACAAUAUUUACUGACUUUUACCUCUUAUUUUGCAGGCUAUCUAGAAUGAUUGCAUGUAUUAAUGAAGUAGUCCACGUUAGGUGGAUUGGCUCAAAAUGGAGAAGCAUGAUUGUAUUAAGCAUUUAAGCUCUAAGCAAUUUAGAAUGUCAAUGUCUUGGGGCUCCCUUGCAAUAUUUCAGAGAACUAUAUUUUUCCAGACAUUUUAUAUUGCCUCACGAUGUUUGGGGGAUCUGAUUAGGUAUUGUUUCUCUAUAUAUCUAUCCAUCUCUCUAUUUUAGUUGCUAAUAGAAUAAUGAACAAUUGAUAGGACUAAUCUUAUAGACUUGUUUUCUCCUCAAUCCGACUGUGUAUUUUCCAAGUUUUGUGCUAAAACGGGAAAAAAACAUAUGUUUUAAACUUGCGACAACAUAUUCUCUGUGCAAAUUUUAGCCUUGU